rnacentral:rRNA from 1 species
GACAGAGGGGGCAAGCGUUGCUCGGAAUCACUGGGCGUAAAGGGCGCGUAGGCGGGAUGGCAAGUCGGUCGUGAAAUCCUUCGGCUCAACCGAAGAACGUCGGCCGAUACUGCCGUUCUUGAGGGAUGCAGAGGAGAUUGGAAUUCCCGGUGUAGCGGUGAAAUGCGCAGAUAUCAGGAGGAACACCGACGGCGAAGGCAGCACUCUGGGCCGGUACUGACGCUGAGGAGUGAAAGCAUGGGGAGCGAACAGG